CCCGCUUCCUCCCCCCCCCACGUGACGCUCACGGGGCUUUCCGCCGCCCGCCCCACACAUCCAUGGGGCCGCCCCACAUCACAUCCCGCCCCACAUCACAUCCCGCCCCACAUCCCCGCCCCGCGGGAGGGCGGCGGAGCGAUCCGCGUUUCCUUCCGUCGUUGUGGGGUUUCUUUGGGGGAAGGGUGGGGCGCCGCUCUGCCCUAUGGGGGAUCGCUGUGCCCUAUAGGGGAAGCUGUGCCCUAUGGGGGGUCGCUGUGCCCUGUAGGGGAAAGCUGUGCCCUAUGGGGGAGCUCUGUGCCCUAUGGGGGAUCGCUGUGCCCUAUAGGGGAAAGCUGUGCUCUAUGGGGGAGCUCUGUGCCCUAUGGGGGAUCGCUCUGCCCUAUAGGGGAAAGCUGUGCCCUAUGGGGGAGCUGUGCCCUAUGGAGGAGGGUUCUGCCUUAUGGGGCAAAGCUGUGCCCUAUGGCGAAAGCUGUGCCCUAUGGGGGAUCUCUCUGCCCUAUGGGGAAAAGCUGUGCCCUAUAGGGGAAAGCUGUGCCCUAUAGGGGAAAGCUGUGC
rnacentral:lncRNA from 1 species